UGAGGAAUAUUGGUCAAUGGGCGAGAGCCUGAACCAGCCAAGUAGCGUGCAGGAUGACGGCCCUAUGGGUUGUAAACUGCUUUUAUAUGGGAAUAAAGUGAGGGACGUGUCCCUUAUUGCAUGUACCAUACGAAUAAGGACCGGCUAAUUCCGUGCCAGCAGCCGCGGUAAUACGGAAGGUCCAGGCGUUAUCCGGAUUUAUUGGGUUUAAAGGGAGCGUAGCCUGUUUGUUAAGCGUGUUGUGAAAUGUAGGAGCUCAACUUUUAGAUUGCAGCGCGAACUGGCAGACUUGAGUGCGCACAACGUAGGCGGAAUUCAUGGUGUAGCGGUGAAAUGCUUAGAUAUCAUGACGAACUCCGAUUGCGAAGGCAGCUUACGGGAGCGCAACUGACGCUAAAGCUCGAAGGUGCGGGUAUCGAACAGG
rnacentral:rRNA from 1 species